rnacentral:rRNA from 1 species
GGACUACAGGGGUAUCUAAUCCUGUUUGCUCCCCACGCUCUCGCGCCUCAGUGUCAGUCUCUGUCCAGGUAGCCGCCUUCGCCACCGAUGUUCCUUCCGAUCUCUACGCAUUUCACCGCUACACCGGAAAUUCCACUACCCUCUACAACACUCUAGCUAUGCAGUCAUCAAUUCAACUCCCAGGUUAAGCCCAGGGCUUUCACCUCAAUCUUACAUAACCACCUACGCGCCCUUUACGCCCAGUCAUUCCGAUUAACGCUCGCACCCUCUGUAUUACCGCGGCUGCUGGCAC